rnacentral:misc_RNA from 1 species
GAUGAAGAACGUAGCGAAAUGCGAUAAGUAAUGUGAAUUGCAGAAUUCAGUGAAUCAUCGAAUCUUUGAACGCACAUUGCGCCCGCCAGUAUUCUGGCGGGCAUGCCUGUUCGAGCGUCAUUUCAACCAUCAAGCCCCAGGCUUGUGUUGGGGACCUGCGGCUGCCGCAGGCCCUGAAAACCAGUGGCGGGCUCGCUGUCACACCGGGCGUAGUAGAUUUUAUCUCGCUCUGGGCGUGCUGCGGGUUCCGGCCGUUAAAAAACCCUUUUAACCCAAGGUUGACCUCGGAUCAGGUAGGGAUACCCGCUGAACUUAAGCAUAUCAAUAAGCGGAGGA